rnacentral:pre_miRNA from 1 species
AAAAACUCAAUUCCUGAGUUUUCGUGUCUAACGUUUGAUCGUCCGUCUUAUUUUAAAAAAAUAUAAAAAAAUUUAAAAAGAUAAGCCAUGCAUAAAAUAUUAUUUAUGUUUUAUCAUCUAGCAAUAAUGAAAAUACUAAUCAUAAAAAAAUUUCAUAUAAGACGGACGAUCAAACGUUGGAGACGGAAACCCAAGAAUUGAGUCUUU